rnacentral:rRNA from 1 species
CACGUAGGGCGCGAGCGUUGUCCGGAAUUAUUGGGCGUAAAGAGCUCGUAGGCGGCCUGUUGCGUCCGCUGUGAAAACCCGCGGCUUAACUGCGGGCUUGCGGUUGAUACGGGCGGGCUAGAGUUCGGUAGGGGAGACUGGAAUUCCUGGUGUAGCGGUGGAAUGCGUAGAGAUCCGGAAGAACACCGGUGGCGAAGGCGGCCUGCUGGGACAGUGCUGACGCUGAGGCGCGACAGCGUGGGGAGCAAACAGG